GUACAGGGUAGCCUAGUGGACAUGGCAUCUGCCCGGUAAGCGGAACACUGUGGGUUCGAUUCCCAUCACUGGACA
rnacentral:tRNA from 1 species